rnacentral:rRNA from 1 species
UACAUGGGGUGCAAGCGUUGCUCGGAAUUAUUGGGCGUAAAGCGCGCGUAGGCGGUUACUCAAGUCGGAUGUGAAAGCCCUCGGCUUAACUGAGGAAGUGCACCCGAAACUGAGUAGCUAGAGUACCAAAGAGGGUCGCGGAAUUCCCGGUGUAGAGGUGAAAUUCGUAGACAUCGGGAGGAACACCGGUGGCGAAGGCGGCGACCUGGGUGGAUACUGACGCUGAGGCGCGAAAGCGUGGGGAGCGAACAGG